CAACAAAACAAACGACUCGACGAAUCCAUUCCGAAAGGGACUUUUUCGACCACCACCACCACCACCACAAACAACCACCGCGAAGGUGCCGAAUUUUCAUGUCACCAACCAGUCAGUAACUUUUUUCGAAAAGAAAGUUGGCACUUCGUCGAACAUAUUCGAAUCAUUAUUAGAAAGAGGAAAGAAGCGCAGUGAGUGAGUGGCUUUUAGAGAGAGAGGGAGGGAAGGUGUGGAUGGCAACUCAGCAGCUUGCAAUCAGAGGGAAGAGACGGCGGAUAUGGGGAGGAACGUUUCUGUGUUGGGUUUUGUUAAUGCUGGUCACUCCCAAGAUUCCUCACUCCCCUAAACAGCAUCUGUACGCCGACAUGCGCAAUUUUCUGGGAGUGCCUAAUACCUUGAACGUGAUCACAAAUUUGCCCUUUUUGGUUGUUGGCGUUCUGGGUUUUGUGCUCUGCGUGCAAGGGGGGCUUUUCAACAUCAGUUUGCCAGGCGAGGUUUGGGGUUGGGCGCUAUUCUAUGCUGGAACAGCAGGGGUUGCAUUUGGGUCCGCUUAUUAUCAUUUGAAGCCUGACGAUAGUAGAGUAGCGUCGGACACCUUGCCGAUGAUGAUUGCAUACUCCUCCCUUUUCUCUAGUUUUAUAGUGGAGAGAGUGGGAGAACAGAUCGGUUUAAGCUGUCCGUUUGCAUUUCUUUUCUUUGCUUUUCUGAGCAUUGCAUAUGACAGAACGUGUAAUGAUAUCAGGUUGUACACGAUGUUCCAGUUGAUUCCUUGUAUAGCAAUUCCAACAAUGUCAUGUGUGUUCCCACCAAAAUAUACUCACUCAAGAUUUUGGCUUUGGGCCGCAGGGGUUUACCUUCUCUCCAAAUUUGAAUCUGUUGCUGACAACAAAAUCUACCAUGCAAAUCAUUUCAUUAUCAGCGGACACUCGUUGGAGCAUUUGUGUUUAGUGAUGGUCCCUGUUCUGCUCAGUAUUAUGCUCAUGAAUAGAAACAUUAAAUGUCAAAGAUUAGACGCCUUUAAAGAACGCUUGUGAUAGAGGCAAGGAAGAGAUGAUGGCGUUUUCUGCGCAGCGGCUAUCAGAUGCUCGAAAACUUUCUGUAGAUGAGGAUUCAUUGCAGCUGUGACGUGGUGACUGCCCAUUGGCCGCCACAGCGCAGGGGAAAGUGAAAGAGGUUCAAAGGCCCAAGUUUUGUAACUGUAGUUACUGUAAUUGUGUCAAACCCUAAAUUUGAGUAUUGAUAUGGUCUGCGCGAGGGCAACCAACCUCGCUUAGCGAAAUAAGACUUUGAUAUUGUGGUUGUCGUAAAGCUUCUGAGGGAAUAAUUGAAAUUACACAUAUCACCUUUGGAGCACAUGUAUGGCAUUGGCACAAAAUUCCUUCACAUGUAUACAUGUGCACAAAGGAACAAAGGCAUGUUUUUGUAUCAUGUGAUGUCAGCAUUGUUUUAGAAUUUAUAUGAACAUUUAUUUUUUAGAAUAUUAUGUAUUAAAAGUAAAUACUCAUAUAAUGUAAUAAUUAUAUUUUAUGGA